rnacentral:rRNA from 1 species
GAUGAACGCUAGCUACAGGCUUAACACAUGCAAGUCGAGGGGCAGCAUGGGCUUAGCUUGCUAAGCCCGAUGGCGACCGGCGCACGGGUGAGUAACACGUAUCCAACCUUCCGGUAACUCCGGUAUAGCCUUUCGAAAGAAAGAUUAAUCCCGGAUAGUAUGGUGAUCCCGCAUGGUUCCUCCAUUAAAGGAUUCAGGUUACCGAUGGGGAUGCGUUCCAUUAGGCAGUUGGCGGGGUAACGGCCCACCAAACCUACGAUGGAUAGGGGUUCUGAGAGGAAGGUCCCCCACAUUGGAACUGAGACACGGUCCAA